CUAGGCUCGAAAAGUUUGGGAACCACUGCUGUAGAUGCUCAGUUUACACUUAUCUUCUAGCUUGUUUUUACUACUACUUAAGAACUCGAAUACUGACGGAUUUGUUUUUAUAGCUACUUUGCUGUUAGCCAGGUUAAUCGCUUUUUUUGACAGCUGGACACUUUGCCAUAUGAUAGGGUACUGCAAGAUAGUUGUUAUUUAUUGGGUGGUGCUGUUCUUCUGGUUCGUUCCCAUUGUGGCAUGUCUUUUCUUUAUUGUGCUUAUUCUCAACAUUUUUUAAGAUAGAGUAUAAGAAACCUUUGC
rnacentral:lncRNA from 1 species